CUACCAUGCUAGUCGAACGGCAGCACAGGAGAGCUUGCUCUCUGGGUGGCGAGUGGCAGACGGGUGAAGAAUACAUCGGAAUCUACUCCGUCGUGGGGGAUAACGUAGGGAAACUUACGCUAAUACCGCAUACUACCUACAGGUGAGAGCAGGGGACCUUCGGGCCUUGCUCGAUUGAAUGACCCGAUGUCAGAUUAUCUAGUUGGCGGGGUAAAGGCCCACCAACGCGACUAUCCGUAUCUGGUCUGAGAGGAUGAUCAGCCACUCUGGAACUGACACACGGUCCACACUCCUACGGGAGGCAGCAGUGGGGAAUAUUGGACAAUGGGCGCAAGCCUGAUCCACCCAUACCGCGUGUGUGAAGAACGCCUUCGGGUUGUAAAGCCCUUUUGUUGGGAAAGAAAUCCAGCUGGCUAAUACCCGGUUGGGAUGACGGUACCCAAAGAAUAAGCACCGGCUAACUUCGUGCCAGCAGCCGCGGUAAUACGAAGGGUGCAAGCGUUACUCGGAAUUACUGGGCGUAAAGCGUGCGUAGGUGGUCGUUUAAGUCCGUUGUGAAAGCCCUGGGCUCAACCUGGGAACUGCAGUGGAUACUGGGCGACUAGAAUGUGGUAGAGGGUAGCGGAAUUCCUGGUGUAGCAGUGAAAUGCGUAAAGAUCAGGAGGAACAUCCAUGGCGAAGGCAGCUACCUGGAACCAACAUUGACACUGAGGCACGAAAGCGUGGGGAGCAAACAGGAUUAAAUACCCCUGGUAGUCCACGCCCUAAACGAUGCCAACUGGAUGUUGGGUGCAAUUUGGCCCCCAGUAUCCAAGCUAACCCGUUAAGUUCCCCCCCUGGGGAGUACGGU
rnacentral:rRNA from 1 species